CUCUGCAGCCUGGAGAAUCCCUCAGGAUGCAGCAGAGCACUGGGAAACACCACAAGCACUGCCCAUCUCCUCCCCUCCUGCCUGGCACUGCCAGAGGACAGUGUGCUUCUUCCUCUCAGGAAAGGGCACCAGGUGCAGGAUUAAGGCCAGAUGAAGGCAAGCAGAACCUGGGCAGAACACUGGCACCUGCAGAAAAUGCUCUCUCAGAGCACUGAGAUGACCAAAAAGUAACUAGACAAAGAUCAGUACUGAAAGGAGGUGGUUCAGGUAAUUUCAUUCCACACUGCUUCCUCCCCACUAGUUCCUACUUUUGCUCCACCAAACCUGGGGUAGGACAGAGCACAUGAGCCAGCUCUGCCUCUGGGUAAAAGCCCAUUUCCAAGGACAGAGGAACAGGCUCCACUGUGCUCUCGCUCCUUAUCCUCCUGGAAAAAGGUGCCAAGAAUUAGAAUUACAUUUUUCGAGAGCAGCAGAACAAGCCAAGGGCCUGUCAGCUUGUCCUAAAACAACCCCUCUCUGCUUGCUGAGCACGCAGCCAGCAUUCCUGACACACACCAGCGUCCAUCCCCCCGGCCCCCCCGGCAGCACGGGGCUGCAGAGCCAAAACACCCUCACUGUGCUCUGCCUAGAGCACAGCCAAGGAGAUUUUCUGUUUAAAAAGCAAGUUUAGGUCCAAAAAGAAAGGAGGUUCUCAGCAAGUGAUUUUAACUAGGCCCUUUGGCACUUGACAGUUCCUCUCCUGUUACGGAUGGUAAGGGUGUUGUUAGGAGAUGAAGCUCCACGAAGCACGAACGUGAAGUCACAGAGCUUUAGCAAGGGCUGUUGCCAUGUUCAAUAUGUUAUUACAGCUCCACCACCACAGGCACAAAGAGCAGCACCUCAUCUCUGCCAAAUCCAUCUCGAAAUCACUCCCCCACUCCAUCCCCUCCAGCAAACACCACUGAUCGCUGCUGCAUCUCCUCCACAGCUUCCACCCCAUGCUGGGAAGGAAGCAGAUCAGGUGAGAUGUCGCACUGCGCGAGCCUUGUAAUAUUGACUGAGUGGGACAGAAAAGUCCAAUUAUGUAAAUGAUGAAGCAGGUUCCCGAGAAGCAGUCAGCCUUAUCACACCAUCCUUCCCCACCGCUGUGGCUUGAAAGGCAAUUUAAAAGGUUGUUUGGGAUGUCGAUCACCACAAACGAGCUGAAGAAGUGUGAAACAACCUCUGCUUGAGGCACCAUCAGUUCUCCUGUUGCUUUUCCAGCUGCACUGAGCCUUUGCCUUGCUGUCUGUGGCUCGAGGACUACUGCAGGCAGCUCAGGGAAGGGUCAAAGGUUUUUAUAUCCUGCCUCUGGAAUAUUUCUGCAGCCCAUGAGGGCUUUUCCUGCCAUACUCGAGUCUCUCAGACCAUAAUUCGGUUCUCUGGCCACAGGAGCUUCAGCUGAGAAAUGGAACAAAAUCAGUUGUCUUGCA